AGUUACGGCCUUGCGGGUGAAAAGUCGAAGACAUUCGGAGGUUUUAUGAGAUGAAGAAAAUGAGAGGGAAUUGAAUGAACAUGAAACUUAAACAACUACGUUGCGAUGAGGAGGCAAGGGCAACCUUCGCGUCGUGCACCAAAAGUGUUAUUCCGCCACAAACCAGACUCAGACGAAAGCAUUUCUGAUGAAGACGACGACGUUUUCCCCAACAUUGUGCUUCCAUUAGACUCCACCAUCACUAGCAAGCAAGAAUUGCCACUUCCGGUGCGGCUGGACAUUCUAAAAGGAAUCAGUAAUCAGAAUUUUUCUGGGAAAGGCAGCAGUUCUUCAUUUGAGAAACCGCUUGAAGAUGAGGUUGAAAUGCCAGACUUCAAUGAGGCCUACAUCCCGGGGGAGGUGGUUGCCAAUUCAACCGAUGAGGAAACAAAUUCUGCAGAUGGGGAUAACACUUUCCUAUCAACCAGACAGCUCCACAAGUAUGGUCCACAAUCUAUCAGAAAUGAAGAAGUUAAAGAUGCAACCACAAUUUCUAAAGCAUUGUUACGUUCCAAAGAAAGUGCUUCAGCAUCCCAUGCUACCUGCUCCAAAGCAAAUAUAUCUGGGAUUUUGAAAACUAAGCCAAGAUUUUCAUUGCCAUCAGUUUCACAUAAAUUUGGGAGCAUUGGUCCUUCAAUCUCCAAGAUUGAGAGCUUGCCUGAAAUUAUCAAAGCUGUUGAUUCUAGGACUUGUGCGAAUGUAAAUGGAAAUUAUCUUGAUGAUGAUGAUCAAAUUGAAAUUAAUUCAGACAUUGAGCUUGCUGAAACAGAAGCUGUUCCAUAUGGAUUUAAUCUGGCCACAAUGGAUGAUCUUUUUGACAACCUCCAAGAUAAGGCUGAUCAGCUUUUUCAGAAACGUAGUAGAUCCCCCUUGCUGAAGACAGUCAUUGACAGUGAAGAUUCCCCUGAGCCUGUGGAUAGUGGGUCAUCUAGCGACAAUGAGGUAAAUGAUCAACAAAUGAAAAUUUUACCUGGAAAGAAAAUGCAAACCAUGGCAGAACGAUUUGAAGAAGCUUUAGGGACAUCCUCUGUUAUCACUGAAGGGCCUCAUGUUGGAGCACUUAAUUCCUUGAGAGCUACAAUAUCUGGAAAACUACAGCAGAUGAUGCUGAAAGAAAAAGAAUCAGACAUGGAGUUCUGGAGAAAGUUACAAGCUGGAGCCAAGCCAGAUAGUGAACCUGGCUGCAUUGAUGUAAAAAUCAUUUCAAGAUACCACGAUGGAAAGCUGACUGUUUGUCAUUGCUCAUUAGGCAAGUACACAGAGGUUGUUUUUGCAGAAUUUUCUGUCACAAGAUAACCCCAAAGAAAUGGAAUUUGGUGGCCGUGAAACCCGUCAAAACACCAUUAUCUUUAGUUCAAGGGUUUGCAACAAUGUUGACCUUGAAGUUGGGAACUUGAUCCGACUUCACCCUCCAUGGAAGGAAGUUCAAGUGGGAAAUGAUAAUAUUAUCUUGUGCACUUAUUUCUCCGAAAUUUUAUUCCCAGGUUGAUUUACUGUUAUCACAGCUGACUAUCUACAGGUGGCAUGUUCAUUUUAGUUUCUUACAAACCAAGGAAAAUUAUGCAAACCACCGUUUGGUGGUGGAUAGAAUAUGAAACAAUUAUGUUGCUGGUCUGCUUUAGGAACUAGGAAAGGGAUAGCUAUUCUUUCUUUUGACUCAUGAGUCAAGGGACCUUGAGAAUAGAUUCUCUCAAUUGAGAUUUUCACUUAGAUUCUCUGAAGUGAAAAUCCCCACAUUCAAAUUUAAAUUCUCCCUCUGUUUUUAAUUAAAGGGUUGAGAUUUCACUUGGACAAUAAUCUCACACGAGUGAAUCUAAACCCAGGGACCUCUGAGUUAUUGUACUACUGGUGUUAAAGUUCAUUGUAGAGAAAAAAUAGAGGGAUUGCCUAAUGCUUUUUUUUAA